UACGUAGGGUGCAAGCGUUGUCCGGAAUUAUUGGGCGUAAAGAGCUCGUAGGCGGUCUGUCGCGUCGGAUGUGAAAAUCCAGGGCUCAACCCUGGACCUGCAUUCGAUACGGGCAGACUAGAAUUCGGUAGGGGAGUCUGGAAUUCCUGGUGUAGCGGUGAAAUGCGCAGAUAUCAGGAGGAACACCGGUGGCGAAGGCGGGUCUCUGGGCCGUAACUGACGCUGAGGAGCGAAAGCAUGGGGAGCGAACAGG
rnacentral:rRNA from 1 species